rnacentral:misc_RNA from 1 species
GACGAACCGUCCGAACGUUAUUCGGUAUCACUGGGCGUAAAGAGUUCGUAGGCGGCCGUGUAUGUCAGGUGUGAAAUCCCACAGCUCAACUGUGGAACUGCGCUUGAAACCACACGGCUUGAGGAAGAUAGAGGGGAGUGGAACAUAUGGUGGAGCGGUGAAAUGCGUUGAUAUCAGCUGGAACACCGGUGGCGAAAGCGGCUCACUGGAUCUUUUCUGACGCUGAGGAACGAAAGCUAGGGUAGCGAACGGG